AUUGAACGCUGCGGCAGGCUUAACACAUGCAAGUCGAGCGAGCGGCGGACGGGUGAGUAAUACUUAGGAAUCUGCCUAUUAGUGGGGUACAACAUCCCGAAAUGGAUGCUAAUACCGCAUACUAAUAGCUGAGCCUAAGGCGGAUUAACUAGUUGGUUGGGUAAAGGCCUACCAGGGCGACGAUCUGUAUCGGGUCUGAGAGGAUGCUCAGCCACACUUGAACUGAGACACGGCCCAGACUCCUACGGGAGGCAGCAGUGGGGAAGAUUGGAAAAUGGGCGUAACCCUGAUCCAGCCAUGCCGCGUGUGGGAAGAAGGCCUUCGGGUUGUAAAGCACUUUCAGCGGGGAGGCGUUACCCGCAGAAGAAGCACCGGCUAACUCCGUGCCAGCAGCCGCGGUAAUUC
rnacentral:rRNA from 1 species